GGGUCGGUAGCUCAGCCUGGGAGAGCGCUACGCUGAAGCCGUAGAUGUCCUGGAUUCAAAUUCCAGCCGACCCA
rnacentral:tRNA from 1 species